CCCUUAGAUGUUCUGGGCUGCACGCGCGCUACACUGAUGCGCUCAACGAGUUUUAACCUUGCCUGGAAAGGUUGGGUAAUCUUUUUAAAACGCAUCGUGAUGGGGAUAGAUUAUUGCAAUUAUUAAUCUUCAACGAGGAAUUCCCAGUAAGCGCGAGUCAUCAGCUCGCGUUGAUUACGUCCCUGCCCUUUGUACACACCGCCCGUCGCUACUACCGAUUGGAUGGUUUAGUGAGACCCUCGGAUCGGUCCCGACUCGGGGUGGGCUUCUGCCCCGGUCGUGGUUUCGCCGAGAAGACGGUCAAACUUGACUAUCUAGAGGAAGUAAAAGUCGUAACA
rnacentral:rRNA from 1 species